UACGUAGGAUCCAAGCGUUGUCCGGAUUUAUUGGGUUUAAAGGGUGCGCAGGCGGCCUGAUAAGUCAGUGGUGAAAGCCGACAGCUUAACUGUCGAAAUGCCAUUGAUACUGUUGGGCUUGAGUAUAGUUGAGGUUGGCGGAAUGUAACAUGUAGCGGUGAAAUGCUUAGAUAUGUUACAGAACACCGAUUGCGAAGGCAGCUGACUAAGCUAUUACUGACGCUCAUGCACGAAAGCGUGGGGAUCAAACAGGAUUAGAUACCCUGGUAGUCCACGCCGUAAACGUUGAUAACUCGAUGUUGGCGAUAUACUGUCAGCGUCUUAGCGAAAGCGUUAAGUUAUCCACCUGGGGAGUACGCCGGCAACGGUGAA
rnacentral:rRNA from 1 species